rnacentral:rRNA from 1 species
GACGAACGCUGGCGGCGUGCUUAACACAUGCAAGUCGAGCGGUAAGGCCCUUUCGGGGGUACACGAGCGGCGAACGGGUGAGUAACACGUGGGUGACCUGCCCUCAGCUCUGGGGAUAAGCCUGGGAAACCGGGUCUAAUACCGGAUAUGACUCCAUGACGCAUGUUGUGGGGUGGAAAGCCUUGUGCGGCUGAGGAUGGGCCCGCGGCCUAUCAGCUUGGUUGGUGGGGGAUGGCCUACCAAGGCGACGACGGGUAGCCGGCCUGAGAGGGCGA